rnacentral:rRNA from 1 species
CCGAAAGGGGCAAUAAUACCGAAUAAUAUUACUUGUCGAUGGACAAGUAAUCAAAGAUUUAUCGGCAGAGGAGCGGCCUAUCUCUUAUCAGCUUGUUGGUGAGGUAAUGGCUCACCAAGGCUAUGACGGGUAGCGGGACUGAGAGGUUGACCCGCCACAUCGGGACUGAGACACUGCCCGGACCUCCACGGAGGGCUGCAGUAACGAAUAUUGCGCAAUGGGCGAAAGCCUGACGCAGCGACGCCGCGUGCGGGAAGAAGUCCCUCGGGAUGUAAACCGCUGUCAGGGAGAAGAAAGUCCGCUUCGGCGGAUUGAUCAACCCCAAAGGAAGUCACGGCUAACUUCGUGCCAGCAGCCGCGGUAAGACGAAGGUGGCAAGCGUUGUUCGGUAUCACUGGGCUUAAAGAGUGUGUAGGCGGAAAGGUAAGCGUCCUGUGAAAGCUCCCGGCUUAACCGGGAAAUUGCGCGACGAACUGUCUUUCUUGAGCCAAGUAGGGGUGCACGGAACUGU